rnacentral:rRNA from 1 species
CCUACGGGAGGCAGCAGUGAGGAAUAUUGGUCAAUGGGCGCUAGCCUGAACCAGCCAAGUAGCGUGAAGGAUGACUGCCCUAUGGGUUGUAAACUUCUUUUAUAUGGGAAUAAAGUGCAGUAUGUAUACUGCUUUGCAUGUACCUUAUGAAUAAGGAUCGGCUAACUCCGUGCCAGCAGCCGCGGUAAUCCGGAGGAUCCGAGCGUUAUCCGGAUUUAUUGGGUUUAAAGGGAGCGUAGGCGGGUUGUUAAGUCAGUUGUGAAAGUUUGCGGCUCAACCGUAAAAUUGCAGUUGAUACUGGCAGCCUUGAGUACAGUAGAGGUAGGCGGAAUUCGUGGUGUAGCGGUGAAAUGCUUAGAUAUCACGAAGAACUCCGAUUGCGAAGGCAGCCUGCUGGACUGUAACUGACGCUGAUGCUCGAAAGUGUGGGUAUCAAACAGGAUUAGAUACCCUAGUAGUC